rnacentral:rRNA from 1 species
UCCAGACUCCUACGGGAGGCAGCAGUGGGGGAUAUUGCACAAUGGGGGAAACCCUGAUGCAGCGACGCCGCGUGUGGGAAGACGGUCCUCUGGAUUGUAAACCACUGUCCCCAGGGACGAAAGUGACGGUACCUGGGGAGGAAGCUCCGGCUAACUACGUGCCAGCAGCCGCGGUAAUACGUAGGGGGCAAGCGUUAUCCGGAUUUACUGGGUGUAAAGGGAGCGUAGACGGUUAUGCAAGUCUGAAGUGAAAGCCCAAGGCUCAACCAUGGGACUGCUUUGGAAACUGUAAAACUGGAGUGCAGGAGAGGUAAGCGGAAUUCCUAGUGUAGCGGUGAAAUGCGUAGAUAUUAGGAGGAACACCAGUGGCGAAGGCGGCUUACUGGACUGUAACUGACGUUGAGGCUCGAAGGCGUGGGGAGCAAACAGGAUUAGAUACCCGUGUA